UGAAAUCCAGAGCUGGAUAGCAGGGACUCUCUAUCUGUAGACAUCUCCAAAGAGUGUUUCACCCCACCUUUAGCUUUUAUGCUUAAUGAGAUGGAUUUUGCUUCUGACACCCCUGUCUACCCAGGUCCUGAGGCAACUUGGCUGGGGGACUGACAGAGAAAUUCAUUUAGUGUGGGAUCUCCAGCAAAACUGAUCUGAAAGCAGCAACAGCAGUGAGUAUUUUCCCAGGGAUGUGCCCUAAACUCCAGCUUCAGUAUCCUCCACUGCUCCCACAGCGAGACCACGGAGGGCCAGAGCUCAUUCUGGGACCACAGAUGUGUCUGCCUGGCUCCGAGGGACCCGUGUUUUCCUGGGGUGCUCUGUCAUUGCAGGCACUCCCUGCCCUGCAGAAGGGAGCUGCUGUGCCCGGCUCUGAGCAGCCAGCUUGGUGUGCUGCCAGCAGAACACAGCAGGCUCAGCCACCCUGUGCUCAAAACCGGGUCACCUGUAUCCUGCGGAUUUCAGACUGGGAAAUCCCCACAGCAACAGAGUGUAAAAUUUAUUCAACAUGGAGAAGUUUAUAGCUGCCUUUGCUUAUGCUCUGGCAAUGUCACUGCAAUCACAAGGUUACAGGAACAGCAAGGACGCUACAUCAUGCUAUUAAUACAUCUGGUUUGGGGCUUUUUUAAGAUGAUUUUGCAGCUUUAACAGUUUUAUGUGCCUACAGAUACUCUUAGUCAUGGAUUUAUUAGCAUAUUUUUCUCUUUAAGUAUUAUUAGAUAUAUCUUCAGAAAUAGGGUUUAAACCUGUCUCUUUUGAGGUAAUUUAGUGUGUAUUAAAAGCCCAACUUUUCUUCCUCUAGACUAGAGGGCUACUUCAACUCUUAAACUGUUUAUCAUCCUCAUAACCUUCCUUUACCUCAUUUCUAUUCAUCCUAUUUCCUUUUCCAUCUCUCUUCCCCUCCUCACCCUUUAAGUGAUCUUAGCAGAUGCUAAAGAUGUCAGGCUGAUAGCUCUGCAGAUACAGGCUCUUUAUCAGACUUUAAAGAUGUUGUUAAUUCAGGAGUAAGCAACGCCAGUCCUAUAUCACAGAUUAUCUGUCAUGGACUUUACCCAGGCCCCUAUUUAGAGAAGGAAAAUCUAUAGACCAUGUUCUUUAUCUUCCUCAGUGGUGACUGCUGAAAUAUUUGCAGAUUGACCACUGAUGAUGAAUUAGUAUGUAACAAGUGUAUGCUACUCUGCACCCUGUCAUUGUGUCAGAGCUCCAUGUUUGAUGGCA